AAGCUCAAAUUUGAAAUCUGACGUCUAUCGAGCCGUCCGAGUUGUAAUUUGUAGGAGCGUCUUCGGGAGCGGCACCGUUCUAAGUUCCGUGGAACCGGACGUCACAGAGGGUGAGAAUCCCGUGCCUGGGCGGCUGUCCGUUCCCAUGUGAAGUGCUUCCGACGAGUCGAGUUGUUUGGGAAUGCAGCUCAAAAUGGGUGGUAAAUUUCAUCUAAAGCUAAAUAUUGGCGAGAGACCGAUAGCGCACAAGUAGAGUGAUCGAAAGAUGAAAAGCACUUUGAAAAGAGAGUUAAAAAGUACGUGAAAUUGUUGAAAGGGAAGCGCUUGAGAUCAAACUCGGUCUUUGGUGAAGCUGCGAGCUCGCUCGGAGCCCCUCGCCCUUGACCGGGCCAGCAUCGGUCUCGACGGCGGGAGAACCGGCUGGGGAAUGUGGCUCUCCUCGGAGAGUGCUUAUAGCCCCAGCCAAAUACCGCCAGUCUGGACCGAGGACCGC
rnacentral:rRNA from 1 species